rnacentral:lncRNA from 1 species
GUGCACCAGCUCCAGGUGGUAUGCCUCCCAACAACUUUAAUCCCAGCAUGCCUCCUCACAACCGCCAAGGCGAUUAUCCAGGAGGACCACCACCUCCGAACAAUUUUAACAGACCACCACCGCCACCACCGCACAACUACAGCGGACCACCACCACCACCACCACACAACUUCAGCGGACCACCACCACCACCACCACACAACUUCAGCGGACCACCACCACCACCACCGCACAACUUCAACGGACCACCACCACCACCACCGCACAACUUCAACGGACCACCACCACCACCGUACAACUUCAACGGGCCACCACCUCCUCCACCAAACAACUUCAACGGACCACCACCUCCUCCACCGAACAACUUCAACGGACCACCACCACGCAACUAUGCUUCAGCAUCACCAAAUCACGGAGGAGGAGGAGGAGGAGCACCCCACAACUAUGGGGGGCCACAGGAAAACAACUAUUGGGGAGCACAGCAGCCAAACAACUAUGGUGGACCUUCAAACUCUGGCCGGGGACCUGCAUAGAACAACUA